CACUACUUACUACCAACUACUUACUACUCCCUACUCCCUACUCACUACUUACUACUCACUACUCAUUACUCACUACUCAUUACUCACUACUCACUACUUACUACUCACUACUCACUACUUACUACUCACUACUCCCUACUCACUACUUACUACUCACUACUCCCUACUCACUACUCAUUACUUACUACUCACUACUUACUACUCACUACUCAUUACUCCCUACUCACUACUUACUAUUCACUACUCCCUACUCACUACUCACUACUCAUUACUUACUAUUCACUACUCCCUACUCACUACUCAUUACUUACUACUCACUACUCAUUACUUAUUACUCACUAUUACACUACUUACUACUCACUACAGUGGGCAGUGGUAGCUCAGUGGUUAAGACAUUGGACUACUGAUCUGAAGGUCAUGCGUCCACUGCCAAGCUGCUACUACUGGGAACUUGAGCAAGGCCCUUAACCCUCAACUGCUCAGUUGUAAAAAUGAAAUAAAUGUAAGUCGUACUGGAUAUGAAUGCCGUAAAUGUAAUGUACUUACUACUUACUCACUCACUGGGUUUAUUCCUCAAAACCACAGAGAGUAAAGUGCAAUAGACUUUAAAGCUCAAAGCAUGUACUUGGGUGGGAGUGUGUGAUAGCAGCAUGUGUGUUUUCAGUACUUGUGUGUUUUUAGUAGUUUAGUUAAAUUACUUGAGUAUUUUCAGUAGGUGUGUGUUGUCAUAGAUGUGUGUUUUCAGGAGUUGGCUAUUGUCAGUAGUUGCGUCCUUUUAGGAGGUGAACGUUGUCAGUAGUUGUGUUUUUUCUGUGUAUUUUAAUUGUUGUUUGUGGUUUUAGUAGGUGUGUGCUGUCACUAGUUGCAUAUUUUCAGUAGUUGUGUGUUUUCAGUAGUUGUCGUUAUAGUAGUGUGUGUGUGUGUGUGUGUGUGUUUCUGGUAUGCAUUGGGUCAGAUUGUGUUGAUGCAAAUAUAUAGUGUGUGACAUGAGAUGAUGUGGGUGGAGGUUAUGGGAGUGCUGCAUAUGGUGCAGUGUGUGUGUGUGUGUGUGUGUGUGUGUGUGUGUGUGUGGGUAGGUAGGUAGUGGGGCCCCUGCUCAACCUUCAGUUACACUGAACAGGCAAUAACUCCUCUCUCCAUCCACGACUUGGGUGUGUGUGUGUGUGUGUGUGUAUGUGUGUGUGUAUACAUGUAUGUAUGUAUAUUCCUCUGCAUUUCUUCAUGACUUCAUGUGCUGAAGAUGCUUUACAUACAGGUAAUGAAUGAAUGAAUGAAUGAAUGAGUGUGUGUGUGUGUGUGUGUGUGUGUGUGUAUUGAUGUUAUUAAGUGUUGUUCCCCAUGCUGACCUACUUUCUCCAUAGCGACCGGUGCCGCGUCGCACUGUGCAGAGAGCAGGAUCACUGUUUCUGCAAGCGUCUCGUCCUCUCAGAGCAGGGCUGUGUUUGCAGCAGAGGGAUGUGUGUGUGUGUGUGUGUGUGUGCACACCUGUUUCCGAUCAGCUGUGUGUUAGCAGAAAAAUGUCGGAAGAAGUGUGGUUAGACUACGGGAAUGCGAUUCACCUCUGUAAUGGUGAAAGGUAAAGCAGAGCUCUGUGUGUGUGUGUGUGUGUGUGUGUGUGUGUGUGUGUGUGUGUGUUACAGAGAGAAAUAAACUCAGUCUGGUGUUUUCCUGUUACAGUGUGUGUGUUCAAUAGUUGUGUGUUUUUAGUUGGUGUGUAUCUUCAGUAGGUGUGUUUUUCAGCAAUUAUGUGUGUCCCCCCCCCCCCCCAAGUGUGUUCAGUACUUGUGUGUCUUCAGCAGUUGUAUUUUUAUCAUGUUUUUUUUAGGUGAUGCAGUUUGUCACUAAUAAUACGUGUGUGUUUUCAGUUCUUGUGUGUUCGCAACGAUUGUGUGUUUUUCAGUAGUUGUAUAUUUUCGGUACACCUUGUGCUUUCAGGAGUUACAUUUUUCGAUGUGUGUUUAGAGUGAUACAAGUUGUCAGUAGUUGUGUGUUUUCAGUAUGUUUGUGCUCAGUAAUUAUGUGCGUUUUUCAGUAGGUGCAUUUUCAGAUGUGUGUUUUCCAGUAGUUGUAAAUAUAUAUAUAUAUAUAUUAGUAUUAUCAGUGUUUUCAGUACUUGUGUGUUCUCAGUUAUUUUGUAUUUUUCAGUAAAUGUGUUGUCAGUUGUCCUGUGUUUUCAGUACUUGUCUGUGUUCAGUAAUUGAGUAUCACCAACGUUUUCAGUAUCCGUGUGUUUUCAGUAGCUGUAUGUUUCAUUCAUUUGUAGUGAUGCGUAAUGUUUUCACCCGGUAUGUGUUUUUUUUUCAGUAGGUGUAGUGCUGUCAGUAUUUUAUGUCUUUAUUAGCUGUGUUUUCAGUACUUUUUUUUUUUUCAUAAAUGUGUCUGGCUGCAUUUGUUUUCAGUUGUGUGUUUCUCAGUACCUGUGUGUUGCCAGCUGCGUAUUGUCAGUACUUUUGAGUGCAGUUGUGUACGUUUUUCAGUACUGACAUGUAUACAGCUAGUUAGUAGUCCACUAGUUGUGUAGGUAUCUUAUGCUUUCAGUAGUUUCAGUAGUUGUGGUUUUUUUGUGGGUGUCUGUUGCCAGCUUUUCAGUGUUUUUGUUCUGUGUUUUGAAAUCUUUCAGGUGUUGUUGUUUUUUCAGUACUUUGGUAGUUGUGUUUGUCAGUAGGUCAGUAUCUCUGUAUCGUCAUUAGUUAUGAGUGUGUAUUUUUGAGGAAAUAUCUCUGCUUGGACAUACUCAGCCACGAAUCUUUGUAGACACUACAUUCCCUCCCCCAAUUCUGCCGUAACCAAUCAGAACAUGUUAUCCGACCCAGUGAACGUGUGUGCAGGAUGUGUGAAGACCCCAUCGUACCCCCGUCAUGAUGCCCUUGAACUCUGUCUAUAGUUUGUUGUACGGUUGUGUUUCUCCCCACAGUGUAAAAGUGCUGAUGUGGGCGACUUUAAGGUCAAGGCAACACAAUCACUGAGACUAAGCAUGUGUGUGUCUGGGUUUGUUGUACAUUGUGCAAGUACUGCACAUGCUGUGUAUGUACGUCACUAUGUAAAUUGUAAGGUGAGAUUUGGACAGCCAUAUUGUUAGUGUGUAUCUGUUAUCUCAGUGAAUGAGGUUAUUCCUUGACUCUGUUUCAUUCAGUGUACCGGGUGAUAGUCUUUCUUGAUCUUUCUGGGUCUCUGGGUCUGGCUUUUGUUGUCCCAUAAUCUCCUGUUUCUUGGUAAAAGAUCACUGCUGUCUGCUUAGCAUGAACCUGUGUGUGUGUGUGUGUGUGUGUGUGUGUGUGGGUGUGUGUUAUGGGUGAGUCGGAAAGUAAUUCCUACUGUCACUGUGCCACUAAUCCUUAAACUUGACAGUGACAGUAAGCUGUGUUUAAUAAUUAGACAAAGGGUUUCCUAAUCCUUCCAGCUAGCUGCUGUCUCCUUAGAAUAUUCAGAGGUAGCGUUAGGUUUGUUCAUGCUAGUCAUUUUUUCCCAACCAAAAGCACUUAUUUUUCAGGUAAUUCAGUGGAAAGUGGCUACAUUCAGUUCAGAAUGAAGCCAGUGUAAAAAAAAAAAAAAAAAGUGAUUCACCUUUUCAGGGAUUUUGUGUAUGUGUAUUUGUGUGGGGGUCAUGGAUGGAUCACAGAUUUUGAUCAGAGGUCGUGGCCACACUUCUGCGGUGCAUGGAGUUGGUGCUAUUAGACUAUCAGGCUAGAGAGGUUAGGCUGGGUUUGUUAGGAGGCCGGCUGGGUCUAUAGGGUCAUCAGGAGGUAGGCUGGGUCUACAGGGUCAUCAGGAGGUAGGCUGGGUCUACAGGGUCAUCAGGAGGUAGGCUGGGUCUACAGGGUCAUCAGGAGGUAGGCUGGGUCUACAGGGUCAUCAGGAGGUAGGCUGGGUCUACAGGGUCAUCAGGAGGUAGGCUGGGUGUAUAGGGUCAUCAGCAGGCAGGCUGGGUCUACAGGAACAUCAUAAGGGGGGCAGGUUCUGUGGGGCUAUUGGAAGGUUUGAUUGGUUCUGAAGCCGUAUAGAGGCUGGGUCUAAAGUAGCAGGAACAGAGAUUUGGCCAGGAGCAAAAGCAAAGUCAGAAAUUGAGCUACAAGAACAAGAGAACAAGGACAGGGCCUGAUCUAAUAAACUGCAUUAGGCUAAACAGUCUGAAUGGAUGGAAGGGCUUGUUUAACAUGUUCAUAUGAUUUCUUUUCUGUGGAGGUAUUAGUUACUAUAAUUACCACUCUCACAGCGUUGUGGGUGGGGCAGAACACUUUCUUUCCUUUUAUUUUAACUAGAACUCCCUUGACACUUGGCAGCGAGAACAAUGCAGCUGAAAUGAUUUCCUUGAAAGUUCACUGAGUUUGAUACAGGUGCAGUUGUGCAAUCCAUUUCUUAGUUUCCAUAACUUUAUUAAAACUUUAUUAAAAUACUAAACUUUCCCAUAGUAAUGCCUGCAAAUUUGGGAAUGCAGAUCUAGUAUCAGCUCAGUGGCUAACCUCAACCAUGACAGGAAUCCGAUAAUCACGACAGAUGAUAUGUGUGUGUUGAUUCAAGAUGGAACAUUUUCCCCCAUCGAGAAACCAAUGUCAAAGACUUAACCGCUGCACUGCAACUCCCUCCUUCCUUCCACCUUUUAACCACUGUCUGUGUGUGUGUGAGAGAGGGAACGAUGAUCUCUUUCUAGAAUCUGUACAUGGUUCUAAAUCGAACUAAUCACAGAGAACCUUCCUGCCCAUUUUUGCCUGUCUGGUCACUCUCACUGCUCUUGAUUAAACUCAGACGGCAGAGUUAAACUAAACCAAUACUUAACUACUUCAAAAGCUGAAAUUGAUCAACCACUGGCCAGACUUAUUGUGCUCCAGCGCCAUGGAUAUUAUUUUGAAUGCAAGCCUCUAGCAACGGGAUGAAGUUUACUGAAACCUCAGUGUUCUUUUAAGAAUUUCAGUCCGAAACCGAUUACAUCCUGAUCCCAGAUGGAGAGAAAUUAAGACCUUUUACUGACAAGGUUGCCAGAUCUUUCGGCCUGUUUUCGAUGCCAGGCAGCUCAAGCGACUAUCAUUCCUGCUAAAUGGCACGUUUUAUUAUUGAAAGCUGCUGUGGGAAAGUGAAAGCCUUGCUUGGAACUAGCUUUGCUCUACAUUACACUGAUAUGAGUGCACAGGGCCUCUUUACAUAAAUUAGGAUUGCGCUGGAUAUUGGGUCAGGACCUACGUCAUUGAAAUAAGACCCUAAUUUAUUGGGACGGUAUUCUUAUUUAUGUGGAAGGAGCCUUAACUUAUUGGGACAAGGCUGUAACUUAUUGGGCUUGGAAUGUAUUUUACUGGGUAGGGCCCUAAAUUAUUGCGAACUUAGUGUGUUAGAACUGUAAUUUUUGCCACAAUUGGGCCACAAUUUUUUGGGAGAAGGGUUCUCAAUUAUUUUGUUGAAUUGGGGUCCUAUGGGAUGAGACAUUUUGGGAUAAGAGGAUCUUAUUUUUGUGGUGCUUUUUUGUUUUACCAUUUUUGGGCCAUAGUUCAUUGGGAUAUUGAAGCCUACCUUAUUGGAACACUGCCUAAUGCUGGGAUGGAGCCCUAUCAUAUUGUGAUUGUUAUUAGGACCUUAGUUUAUUAGGAUUGGACCGAGGCUUGUGUUUAUCCGGAGAUGCUUUGUUCCUCCAGCGAUGUUCUUCGUUGUAACUUUGUUGUGGUUAGCAGUUAAAGGGUUAACAAGGAACAAGUGUGUGUGUGAAUGGGAGUGGCUGAAAUAUAGGUCAAUCACACCUCCUUCUAUCUUGCACUUCUGAUAAUGUUCUUCUAAUACUAUGUAAUUGCACAGUACAGUUUCCUCAUGACUGAAGCUUGGUAAAUAUAUAUGUGUGUGUGUGUGUGUGUGUGUGUGUGUGUGUUUCUGUUCAGUGUAUGACUUUAGGACCCUAUAGUAUCGUAUAACCAUACAUGGCUUUGAACAUAUCAGCUACAAAACAGUUUUUUUUGUGCGUGUGUGACACCCAACUGGGCCUCUGUUCAACAGAACGCCAUGCAAACAUUCAACACACACACACACACACACACACACACAGUAUUAGUUACUGGGAAAAACAGUCUCCCGAUUGUCAUAAUAGCGCAGAGAUAGAGACUCGCUGAUUGACAUCUCCAACCCACAAACUACCGAGUUCAGCUGACCACAAAGACAUAAAUCCGAGGCGUCGGCCAAUCAGGAGUCAGAGAUGGUAGAGCGAGAUUUUUUUCCACCACAAUAAAGGGUUAUGAAAAUUUCUGCUUAAACUAUCUGUGAUACAGUUAUAGUAUUAUUGGAAAGCAUGUACUUGUCAAGUACAAUUAACUACUGUGUGUGUGUGUGUGUGUGUGUGUGUUUAAUGUCUAUUUAAUGUUGCAUGCCACAAGAUUCUUCCCCUAAUGUUCUUCUCUUUGGGAAAAGGAUGUAAGCUGACUCAUAGUGUGUGUGUGUGUGUGUGUGUGUGUGUGUGUGUUAGUCUUGUCAGUGUCCUUUUCUAUCAGCCAUGAUGUUUGUUUAAUGAGGAAAUUCAUCGCAGAAAGACUUCCUCCGCUUUUAUGGGUUACAGUACGACCGCGCACACACAUACACACACACACACACACACACACACACACACACACACCGACACUUACCUCGUGUGCGAUAAUGCACUGUGUUUCUUUUAAUUCAUAUGAUUUAUACAAGUCUCCUGUUGUUGUUGUUGUUGUUUUUUCUUCUUCCUUUCUUUCCUGCUCUCUUUUCAUUAUCUAAAGGGCUGGUCCUGCUCGAGGGAUGGUUUCUAGGUCACUCCAUGCCUCGCGGAUGUAACAUUUCCCGAGCUGUUAAAGCGCCACAUUUCUGCUUUGUCAUCAGACGUUGCUUUUGUUGGUAACCAGUCGUUAGUCAGAAUUUAUUUUUGGGAGAACGACUGCUAGCCAAAAAUAACGCCGCCUACUCUGGCAACCUCGGUCCAAAUGGACGAACUGUACAGUACGGGUUUGACAGCGUGGGGUCGUGUGUCCAUCAUGUUUAGCAGAUAAACUCCCUCUGUGUGGCAUUUACUUCUCAGGACGUGAACGUAAUUCUCAAUAUGGAAGCUUCGAUGCUGAGUGUGAUUUUAUUUUCACAGAGUCUUUUAUUACAAAUCUAACAACAGAUCUGAGAGAAAUGUUGACGUUUACCACAGCUUUGUCACGUGUACGCUGUCACUAAGCCUUUACCUCAUCCAUAAAAUAAGGUACGUCAUGGCUAAUUAAGUGGUUAGUGUCAUUUGACUUAGGUUUACCAUGUAUGACAACAGUAUGACAUAUCUUCAGGAUGAAAGGGAUUCAGUUAUGAGUGUCUUUGACCAGAUCGCUAUGAAUUCAUUGAAGGAAUCACAUCGCUAUCUAGCGUAAACGUAAUUCCGAUUCAACACAUGCAAAUUAA
ensembl:lncRNA